GUCUUAAAGAGAGGAUAUAGUCCGCAUCUCAACCUGAUAAUUUCUUCGGUGACAAAUAUUUUAAAAUCCGAAAACAACAUAUUCUUUUGCAAACUGCAAUUGAAGAUUUUUGUUGGAAUAAUUCGGUGUUUUAAUUUCUUAGAUGUUAGGGCUAGGAGUUAUCGCGAAAAGAACUCAACAGGCUUAACCAAACGGUUUAGGGGAAGGUGCUUCCAAGAAGAACGCAUUUGUAGCAGGAAUCAGGAUGAUUCGUUUACAGAAAUGUCGAUGCUUCAAGGGUUUUGGUCAUCUAUUGUUUCUAGAGCUGAAGAAGAGACUUCAAAAUGUUGGCAUUCACAUCUUCUGUUGGGGAGACAAAUAUUGUGUGUUUGGGGCUGUUACGCAUGA